UUGGCCAUCGGACUAUCAGCUGUAACAUCGUCUUGGGUGGUAGACGUUCGACGGGAGUUUGCUAUAGUACUUGGUGGUUUUUGGAGUGGCGUAUUUAACAUAGCGUAGAGAAAUUGGCCCUGUUUUGAAUUUUUACGACGCAGCUGUUCAUCGCGCGACUAGACUACAGUUUCGUAAACAACCCUCGGUUGGCGCUUGAGAUUUCCAUUGAGUGUUACUUCCGGGCUUCUGCAAGGAUGCGUUUAGUACGAGUUUGACCCUGGAGGUCCUGUCCUUGCAGUUAAUCUUCAGGUAUGAUGAAGCUACCUCUCGCCAGCAACAGAACACUUCUUACUGGAGCCAGAGUUCAAGGAAAUGUGCAGGCACGGGGUGGAUUUGCGAACCUUUCAGUGUUAGUCUGAUAUUUCUUGGGAUUCAAGAUCUCGACAAGAUAUUUGGUUUCCAAAUUUUCCAUGCUGCCUGUUCCCUGAAAAUGCAGAUAGGUAUGUAGUUAGAUUCCUCAGAUAUUCCACAUUCCUUAACCUACCAUUUCCCUGUGUGUUAUUCUUUAAAUAUAAUAUUUAAUUAGUUUAGUUUGCAGUUCUUACUUCCUCAGUAUUUUUAUAAGCAAAAAAUUGAAAAUUUGGUUUAAUCUCUAAUGAUUAUGGUUGUUGAAGGUAAAAACUACUUUAUUAGCAAUAUACUAGUGUUUCGAAGUAUUCACGUGAGUGAGCGCACCUGUGAAACGAAUACAUAAGUCCUAUAAAAAAAUUUUAAUCAAAUUAAUAUAAGCCACCUUCAAGGAAUUGUUGAAAUGUUCAUUUGCCCAACACCUAUGGUGAAGAUGUGGUCGAGGUAUUUGUUGUGAAGACUCGAAUGCGCCCAGCUAAUUUGUAGGUCAUUGU